CUACCGGCCUGGGAGCGGCCUAUUUCCUAUCAGCUAGUUGGUGAGGUAACGGCUCACCAAGGCAACGACGGGUAGCCGGACUGAGAGGUUGGACGGCCACAUCGGGACUGAGACACUGCCCGGACAUCUACGGAUGGCUGCAGUAACGAAUAUUCCGCAAUGGGCGAAAGCCUGACGGAGCGACGCCGCGUGGAGGACGAAGGCCCUUGGGUUGUAAACUCCUUUUAGGGUUGGGAAAGCAAUGG
rnacentral:rRNA from 1 species